rfam:Gossypium hirsutum cultivar TM-1 chromosome 9, whole genome shotgun sequence
AAUACAAGAAAGACAAAUUAGAUUUUUUCUCCUGAUUUUCAACUUUUUCCUCCUGAAAAAUUCAAAUUCAACUAAAAAUGUUGAAAAUCAAGAGGAAAAAUCUGAUUUGUCAUUCUCCUAUU